rnacentral:sRNA from 1 species
AAAGGAAAAAACGUAAUUAUCCCUUCAGGCUUCGGGAAUAUUAAAAAUAUUCAUUGACACAGAAAUUUAAACGUGUUACACUUGCUUUAUAGCUACUGAAUAGCUGGAAGUUUUUAGCUUAGGAGGAUUUGUCAUGCAAGGUAAAGUAAAAUGGUUCAGUGCAGAAAAAGGUUAUGGUUUCAUCGAAAGAGAAGACGGCGGUGACGUAUUCGUUCACUUCUCCGCUAUCCAGGAAGACGGCUUCAAAUCCCUGACUGAAGGUCAGGAAGUUGAAUUUGACAUCGUUGACGGCGCUCGUGGCCCGCAGGCAGCUAACGUAACCAAAGCGUAAGCUGUGAUAAACAGACCUUUUAAGACGGUAACUCGGGUUGCCGUCUUUUUU